rnacentral:rRNA from 1 species
GAAUAUUGCGCAAUGGCCGAAAGGCUGACGCAGCGACGCCGCAUGGAGGAUGAAGUCCGUUAGGAUGUAAACUCCUUUUGCAGGGGAAGAAUGUCCCGCCUUCGGGCGGGCUUGACGGUACCCUGCGAAUACGGAACGGCUAGCGACGUGCCAGCAGCCGCGGUAAUACGUAGGAUCCGAGCGUUGUCCGGAAUUACUGGGUGUAAAGGGCGUGUAGGUGGAUCUCUAAGUCGGUGGUGAAAUCCUGCAGCUUAACUGUAGAAUUGCCGUCGAUACUGGAGGUCUUGAGUGCGGCAGAGGGAGAUGGAAUUCAUGGUGUAGCGGUGAAAUGUGUAGAUAUCAUGAAGAACACCGGUAGCGAAGGCGGUCUCCUGGUCCGUUACUGACACUGAGGCGCGAAAGCGUGGGGAGCAAACAGG